AUUGAACGCUGGCGGCAUGCUUUACACAUGCAAGUCGAACGGUAACAGGCCUUCGGGUGCUGACGAGUGGCGCACGGGUGAGUAAUGCAUCGGAACGUGCCCAGAGGUGGGGGAUAACGCAGCGAAAGCUGUGCUAAUACCGCAUGUGAUCUGAGGAUGAAAGCGGGGGACCAGGCAGCAAUGUUUGGCCUCGCGCCUUUGGAGCGGCCGAUGUCAGAUUAGGUAGUUGGUGGGGUAAAGGCCUACCAAGCCGACGAUCUGUAGCUGGUCUGAGAGGACGACCAGCCACACUGGGACUGAGACACGGCCCAGACUCCUACGGGAGGCAGCAGUGGGGAAUUUUGGACAAAGGGCGCAAGCCUGAUCCAGCAAUGCCGCGUGCGGGAAGAAGGCCUUCGGGUUGUAAAACGCUUUUGUACGGAACGAAAAGGCUCUGGCUAAUACCUGGGGCUGAUGACGGUACCGUAAGAAUAAGCACCGGCUAACUACGUG
rnacentral:rRNA from 1 species